rnacentral:rRNA from 1 species
GACGAACGCUGGCGGCGUGCUUAACACAUGCAAGUCGAACGGAAAGGCCCUGCUUUUGUGGGGUGCUCGAGUGGCGAACGGGUGAGUAACACGUGAGUAACCUGCCCUUGACUUUGGGAUAACUUCAGGAAACUGGGGCUAAUACCGGAUAGGAGCUCCUGCUGCAUGGUGGGGGUUGGAAAGUUUCGGCGGUUGGGGAUGGACUCGCGGCUUAUCAGCUUGUUGGUGGGGUAGUGGCUUACCAAGGCUUUGACGGUAGCCGGCCUGAGAGGGUGACCGGCCACAUUGGGACUGAGAUACGGCCCAGACUCCUACGGGAGGCAGCAGUGGGGAAUAUUGCACAAUGGGCGGAAGCCUGAUGCAGCAACGCCGCGUGCGGGAUGACGGCCUUCGGGUUGUAAACCGCUUUCGCCUGUGACGAAGCGUGAGUGACGGUAAUGGGUAAAGAGGCACCGGCUAACUACG